CCUGGAUAGAGGCAGAGCUCUUCACCAAGAGGCAGGCCUUUGAAGUAGGAGUUAAAUAAACUUCCUCUACCACAGAUCAGUGUGAUACCAAGGGUGCAGCUUGGAGGAGUGAGGCCUCAUGAUUUCCCUGCCCUGCUGCCAGCUGGUGCUGUGUCAACCUACCUGGGCAGUGAAUCCAGGCAGUGGUAGCAUUCUCUGGAUGUGAUGAGGGCUGAGAGCCCCAGCUGUGAGCAGAGCUUCCUCGGGGCAACAGCAGCCUGAAAGAGUGUCACCUGGCUCCUGGCUGCCUGUAGAGUGGAUAAGCAGCCCUCCCAGAGUAAAAGGGCUGCCCACCUGAGCUUGCAAGCUGGGCAGGAGGCAGCUGGGCUCACCUGGCUGCCACUGCUGCUUGCUAGGAGCUACUUCCAGGCUUGGCUUCUCUUGACCAAACCCACCAAAAUGCCCCAAAAGGUGGAAACUGAAAGACGUGGCAAGAAUUUUUAAGAUAAUGCUUUGAGUGUGGUUCUAGGUUAAUAUUGUCAUAUUACAUACUUCAUGAUGGAAAAUAAGCACUACAGUCAUCUUGUGCUCAGACUGAGCUAUGCACGUGUUACAAAUGAAAAUGAAGAUAUGCUUGCUUGUGAAUUCAAUCAACAGAAAAACUCAAAUAUACAAAACUGAGAAUGGCAUAUAUUCAGUCAUAUGUCAAAGCACAAUUUUUUCUGCCUUCCUAAUGUAGUGUAACUUGUCAUGGCCAAAUUAUAUUCCUGAAGCUACCACAAAUCAGCUCAGCUGAAGUCAUACUCUGUUUCCAGUCAGCAAAUGAUCUUUUCCUUGUUCCUUUUGCAAUUCCUGACAAAAUUUUAACGGUCUGCUUUGUUUUAAAAAACAUAACAGCACAAGUUAGAAUGAAAACGAUUUAAUAAAUGCCACAAUUAAAAAGAAGAAGAAGAAAAAAGAGU